rnacentral:lncRNA from 1 species
ACCUAUUUAAGGUACCCAAAUGCCUCAAUUUCAGACUUAGGGUUUGUUUUUUUGCCCCAAUUUCAUGUACAAUGAAAUGAUGAACACAUACAUAAUGACGUAAAGGACUUUGCUUACUUCAGUCUAUAUUCAGAAAUGAUGUAAAUUUAUAGCUUGCUUGAAUGAAGCCACAAAGGCUCGAAUUUUGCCUCAAUUAUUUCAGUAUAGCUGUCUCGAAUGAAGCCAACUAUCAUUUCUGCCUCAAUUACUUUUAUUUUACACAUAAUGCCUCAAUUUACUUGUGUAUUUUGUAUUGAUAGAAAGGCAUUUUUAUUACAGAAUUAUUGAAGAACGAUGAGGGCCGGAGACAUUGUUUCUCUUUUCCAUAGAGAAGCUAUUAAAAUAGGGAAGAAGAAGAAGAAGGUAGGGAAUAUGCUUGAUAUGGCUGAAGAGCAAACCAGAGAACUUGUGUGUAUGCGGUUGUGAUUUAAGAGCAAACUCAUGAACCAACAGUGUCUAUGUCGAAUGUGACCAUAGAGCAAAAGCAUAGGCCAGAAACAUAGUCUUUUUAAACUUCUCAAGGUAUGUACUAUGGUCCAUGUAGUAUUUACUAUGUAGGCUUCUUUAUAAAAAGCUAAGAUUUAAUUGAGAAUUUUAGUGUGUUCGUAAGACCAUAUUGAUCUA